CGGGGUGCAGCAGGCGCGAAAACUUUACAAUGCUGGCAACAGCGAUAAGGGGACCUCGAGUGCCAGGAUACAAUCUUGGCUGUCGCGAUGCCUAAAAAGCAUUGCAUAGCAAGGGCCGGGCAAGACCGGUGCCAGCCGCCGCGGUAACACCGGCGGCUCGAGUGGUAACCGCUAUUAUUGGGUCUAAAGGGUCUGUAGCCGGCCGGAUAAGUCUUUUGGGAAAUCCAGCUGCUCAACAGUUGGGCUUUCAGAAGAUACUGUUCGGCUCGAGACCGGGAGAGGUGAGAGGUACUUCAGGGGUAGGGGUGAAAUCUUGUAAUCCUUGAAGGACCACCAGUGGCGAAGGCGUCUCACCAGAACGGAUCUGACGGCAAGGGACGAAAGCUAGGGGCACGAACCGGAUUAGAUACCCGGGUAGUCCUAGCCGUAAACGAUACUCGCUAGGUGUCAGCCACGGUGCGACCGUGGUUGGUGCCGUAGGGAAGCCGUGAAGCGAGCCACCUGGGAAGUACGGCCGCAAGGCUGAAACUUAAAGGAAUUGGCGGGGAGCACAAGGGCGAAUUGC
rnacentral:rRNA from 1 species